UCCUGGGUCUCGACAGGAUCCCCGGACGACGGAUCAGUACCCGGUGAGCGACAAGACUGGCCAGG
rnacentral:ncRNA from 1 species